rnacentral:rRNA from 1 species
GCCUACGGGGGGCAGCAGUGGGGAAUAUUGGACAAUGGGCGAAAGCCUGAUCCAGCAACGCCGCGUGAGGGAUGACGGCCUUCGGGUUGUAAACCUCUUUCAGUACCGACGAAGCGAGAGUGACGGUAGGUACAGAAGAAGCACCGGCCAACUACGUGCCAGCAGCCGCGGUAAUACGUAGGGUGCGAGCGUUGUCCGGAAUUAUUGGGCGUAAAGGGCUCGUAGGCGGUUUGUCGCGUCAGGAGUGAAAACUCGGGGCUUAACUCCGAGCCUGCUUCUGAUACGGGCAGACUAGAGGUAUGCAGGGGAGAACGGAAUUCCUGGUGUAGCGGUGAAAUGCGCAGAUAUCAGGAGGAACACCGGUGGCGAAGGCGGUUCUCUGGGCAUUACCUGACGCUGAGGAGCGAAAGUGUGGGGAGCGAACAGGAUUAGAUACCCGCGUAGUCCA